rnacentral:rRNA from 1 species
AACGAACGCUGGUGGCGUGUCUUAUACAUGCAAGUCGAGCGAGGCAGCAAUGCCUAGCGGCGAACGGGUGAGUAACGCGUAAGCAAUCUGCCCCAUAUCAGGAAAUACCCGUGCCAACGCGCGGUUAAUGUCCAGGAGCGUGGCCUUCCGCAUGGGAGGUUGACAAGAGAUUUAUCGGUAUGGGAUGAGCUUGCGUCCGAUUAGCUAGUUGGCGGGGCAACGGCCCACCAAGGCGACGAUCGGUAGCCGGCCUGAGAGGGUGAUCGGCCACAUUGGGACUGAGAUACGGCCCAGACUCCUACGGGAGGCAGCAGUAGGGAAUAUUGCACAAUGGGGGAAACCCUGAUGCAGCAACGCCACGUGUGGGAAGAAGCAUUUCGGUGUGUAAACCACUGUCGUGAGGGAAUAAGGCAUUGUUUCGGCGAUGUUGAAUGUACCUCGAGAGGAAGCACCGGCAAACUUCGUGCCAGCAGCCGCGGUAAUACGAGGGGUGCAAGCGUUGUUCGGAAUCACUGGGCGUAAAGGGAGCGUAGGCGGAGAUGCAAGCGGACUGUACAAUACCGGGGCCCAACCCCGGACCUGCAGUUCGGACUGCACCUCUUGGAUAGUUCAGGGGCAGGCGGAAUUCCUGGUGUAGCGGUGGAAUGCGUAGAGAUCAGGAAGAACACCGAUGGCGAAGGCAGCCUGCUGGGGACUUAUCGACGCUGAGGCUCGAAAGUGCGGGUAGCAAACA